rnacentral:rRNA from 1 species
UGGGGAAUAUUGGACAAUGGGCGAAAGCCUGAUCCAGCCAUGCCGCGUGUGUGAAGAAGGUCUUCGGAUUGUAAAGCACUUUAAGUUGGGAGGAAGGGCAGUAAGCGAAUACCUUGCUGUUUUGACGUUACCGACAGAAUAAGCACCGGCUAACUCUGUGCCAGCAGCCGCGGUAAUACAGAGGGUGCAAGCGUUAAUCGGAAUUACUGGGCGUAAAGCGCGCGUAGGUGGUUCGUUAAGUUGAAUGUGAAAGCCCCGGGCUCAACCUGGGAACUGCAUCCAAAACUGGCGAGCUAGAGUAGGGCAGAGGGUGGUGGAGUUUCCUGUGUAGCGGUGAAAUGCGUAGAUAUAGGAAGGAACACCAGUGGCGAGGGCGACCACCUGGGCUCAUACUGACACUGAGGUGCGAAAGCGUGGGGAGCAAACAGG